rnacentral:rRNA from 1 species
AUUGAACGCUGGCGGCAGGCCUAACACAUGCAAGUCGAACGAGUGGCGGACGGGUGAGUAAUGUCUGGGAAACUGCCUGAUGGAGGGGGAUAACUACUGGAAACGGUAGCUAAUACCGCAUACCAUCGGAUGUGCCCAGAUGGGAUUAGCUAGUAGGUGGGGUAAAGGCUCACCUAGGCGACGAUACCUAGCUGGUCUGAGAGGAUGACCAACCAAACUGGGACUGGGACACGGUCCAAGCUCCUACGGGAGGCAACAGUGGGGAAUAUUGCCCAAAGGGCGCAAGCCUGAUGGAGCCAUGGCGGGGUGUUGAAGAAGGCCUUCCGGUUGUAAAGGACUUUCAGCGGGGAGGCGUUACCCGCAGAAGAAGCACCGGCUAACUCCGUGCCAGCAGCCGCGGUAAUAC